UACAGAGGGUGCGAGCGUUGUCCGGAAUCACUGGGCGUAAAGGGCGCGUAGGUGGCCUGGUAAGUCGGGGGUGAAAUCUCGAGGCUCAACUUCGAGGCUGCCUCCUAAACUGUCAGGCUUGAGCAGAGUAGAGGCAGGUGGAAUUCCCGGUGUAGCGGUGGAAUGCGUAGAGAUCGGGAAGAACAUCGGUGGCGAAGGCGGGUCUCUGGGCCGAUACUGACGCUGAGGAGCGAAAGCGUGGGGAGUGAACAGG
rnacentral:rRNA from 1 species